rnacentral:rRNA from 1 species
ACGCUGGCGGCGUGCCUAAUACAUGCAAGUCGAACGCACAGCGAAAGGUGCUUGCACCUUUCAAGUGAGUGGCGAACGGGUGAGUAACACGUGGACAACCUGCCUCAAGGCUGGGGAUAACAUUUGGAAACAGAUGCUAAUACCGAAUAAAACGUAGUGUCGCAUGACACAAAGUUAAAAGGCGCUUCGGCGUCACCUAGAGAUGGAUCCGCGGUGCAUUAGUUAGUUGGUGGGGUAAAGGCCUACCAAGACAAUGAUGCAUAGCCGAGUUGAGAGACUGAUCGGCCACAUUGGGACUGAGACACGGCCCAAACUCCUACGGGAGGCUGCAGUAGGGAAUCUUCCACAAUGGGCGAAAGCCUGAUGGAGCAACGCCGCGUGUGUGAUGAAGGCUUUCGGGUCGUAAAGUACUGUUGUAUGGGAAGAACAGCUAGAAUAGGAAAUGAUUUUAGUUUGACGGUACCAUACCAGAAAGGGACGGCUAAAUACGUGCCAGCAGCCGCGGUAAUACGUAUGUCCCGAGCGUUAUCCGGAUUUAUUGGGCGUAAAGCGAGCGCAGACGGUUUAUUAAGUCUGAUGUGAAAGCCCGGAGCUCAACUCCGGAAUGGCAUUGGAAACUGGUUAACUUGAGUGCAGUAGAGGUAAGUGGAACUCCAUGUGUAGCGGUGAAAUGCGUAGAUAUAUGGAAGAACACCAGUGGCGAAGGCGGCUUACUGGACUGCAACUGACGUUGAGGCUCGAAAGUGUGGGUAGCAAAC